rnacentral:rRNA from 1 species
GACGAACGCUGGCGGCGUGCCUAAUACAUGCAAGUAGAACGCUGAAGGAGGAGCUUGCUUCUCUGGAUGAGUUGCGAACGGGUGAGUAACGCGUAGGUAACCUGCCUGGUAGCGGGGGAUAACUAUUGGAAACGAUAGCUAAUACCGCAUAAGAGUAGAUGUCGCAUGACAUUUGCUUAAAAGGUGCAAUUGCAUCACUACCAGAUGGACCUGCGUUGUAUUAGCUAGUUGGUGAGGUAACGGCUCACCAAGGCAACGAUACAUAGCCGACCUGAGAGGGUGAUCGGCCACACUGGGGCUGAGACACGGCCCAGACUCCUACGGGAGGCAGCAGUAGGGAAUCUUCGGCAAUGGACGGAAGUCUGACCGAGCAACGCCGCGUGAGUGAAGAAGGUUUUCGGAUCGUAAAGCUCUGUUGUAAGAGAAGAACGAGUGUGAGAGUGGAAAGUUCACACUGUGACGGUAUCUUACCAGAAAGGGACGGCUAACUACGUG